rnacentral:rRNA from 1 species
CCUACGGGAGGCAGCAGUGAGGAAUAUUGGUCAAUGGGCGUAAGCCUGAACCAGCCAAGUCGCGUGAGGGAUGAAGGUUCUAUGGAUCGUAAACCUCUUUUAUAAGGGAAUAAAGUGUGGGACGUGUCCUAUUUUGUAUGUACCUUAUGAAUAAGGAUCGGCUAACUCCGUGCCAGCAGCCGCGGUAAUACGGAGGGUCCGAGCGUUAUCCGGAUUUAUUGGGUGUAAAGGGUGCGUAGGCGGCCUUUUAAGUCAGCGGUGAAAGUCUGUGGCUCAACCCUAGAAUUGCCGUUGAAACUGGGGGGCUUGAGUGUGUUUGAGGCAGGCGGAAUGCGUGGUGUAGCGGUGAAAUGCAUAGAUAUCACGCAGAACUCCGAUUGCGAAGGCAGCAUACCGGCGCCCGACUGACGCUGAGGCACGAAAGCGUGGGUAUCGAACAGGAUUAGAUACCCUGGUAGUC